rnacentral:tRNA from 1 species
GCAGUUGUAGCCCAAGCCAGAGCACCAGUUUCCAUAACUGAUCGCCGGAGGUUAGAACCCUCCCUACUGUA